rnacentral:rRNA from 1 species
GACGAACGCUGGCGGCGUGCCUAAUACAUGCAAGUAGGACGCAGGUGCGAACGGGUGAGUAACGCGUAGGUACCUAACUCUUAGAGGGGGAUAACUAUCGGAAACGAUAGCUACUACCGCAUACUAGUAGUUGGACCUGCGUUGUAUUAGCUAGUAGGUAGGGUAAUGGCCUACCUAGGCAACGAUACAUAGCCGAUCUGAGAGGUGGAGCGGCCACACUGGGACUGAGACACGGCCCAGACUCCUACGGGAGGCAGCAGUAGGGAAUCUUCUGCAAUGGAGGGAACCCUGACCGAGCAACGCCGCGUGAGUGAUGAAGGAUUUCGGGUCGUAAAGCGCUGUUGUUAAGGAAGCGGUACUUAACCAGAAAGGGACGGCUAACUACGUGCCAGCAGCCGCGGUAAUUC